rnacentral:rRNA from 1 species
UUUCCUACGGUAUUAGAGGAAGUAAAAGUGUAACAAGGUUUCCGAUAGGUGAACCUGCGGAAGGAUCAUUAAAUAAUUUAGAUGGCCUUUGCUAGUUUUCUAGCGAAUGGUUCAUUCUUUUUUACUGUGAACUGUUUUAAUUUUUCAGCGUCUGAGGAAUGUCUUUUAGCCAUAGGGAUAGGCUACUAGAAUGUUAACCGAGCUGAAAGUCAGGCUUAGGCCUGGUAUCCUAUUAAUUAUUUACCAAAAGAAUUCAGUAUUAUAAUUGUAACAUAAGCGUAAAAAACUUAUAAAACAACUUUUAACAACGGAUCUCUUGGUUCUCGCAUCGAUGAAGAACGUAGCAAAGUGCGAUAACUAGUGUGAAUUGCAUAUUCAGUGAAUCAUCGAGUCUUUGAACGCAACUUGCGCUCAAUGGUAUUCCAUUGAGCACGCCUGUUUCAGUAUCAAAAACACCCCACAUUCAUAAUUUUGUUGUGAAUGGAAAUGAGAGUUUCGGCUUUAUUGCUGAAUUCUUUAAAAUUAUUAGGCCUGAACUAUUGUUCUUUCUGCCUGAACAUUUUUUUAAUAUAAAGGAAUGCUCUAGUAAAAAGACUAUCUCUGGGGCCUCCCAAAUAAAUCAUUCUUAAAUUUGAUCUGAAUCAGGCGGAUUACCCGCUGACUUAGCAUAUCAAUACGAGGGGAAAAAA